rnacentral:lncRNA from 1 species
CCUCAUUAAGACAAAUCAGCGAGCUAGGGAUUUCCAAUAACCAACUAUCUGGUGAAAUUCAUCCAUAUCUCUUAUCUAACUGGUCAGAGAUCAUCUCUUUGCAGCUCCAGAUGAAUGAUCUAUCAGGAAAACUUCCACCUGAAAUUGGGUUACUCCCCAAACUAGAGUAUAUGUAUCUUUUUGAUAACAAAUUUUCAGGUCCUAUACCUCAACAAAUCGGAAAUUUGACAAAUCUGUUUGAUCUUCAACUGGCCAACAACUUUUUCAAUGGUUCCAUCCCUUCCACCAUUGGAAAUUUAUCCAGUCUUGUGAAGUUAAGUCUUUCUUCUAACCAACUUACUGGAACCCUUCCUCCUGAAAUAGGCAACGUGAAAAUGUUAGAAGAGUUGGACUUGAGCUCAAAUAAUUUGCGAGGAACUCUUCCCAUGUCAAUAACCAACUUACAAAGCCUCACCCUGUUAUAUGUUUCAUUCAACAACUUCUCAGGAAGCAUUCCAGCUGAUUUUGGACCCAGAUUCUUAAGAAAUGUGAGCUUCUCCUACAAUAAUUUUUCUGGAAAGCUGCCUCCAGGAAUUUGUAGAGGUGGGAACCU